rnacentral:lncRNA from 1 species
ACACAUGUCGUGAUGGCGCCUAUCUUAAUACUAGGCAAGCCGUCAACCUUCAUAAACCACAAUUUCUUUUAAAUGCGAAAAAUAUAAUAAUUAAUUUAAGAGAAAAUCCCAACAUACUGAUAUAAAUACACUUCCAAAACCUGGUGUCACUGAGUACAUGAGCAUCUAUACAUUACAAGUCUAGAAAAAUCCGGUCUAUAAUAAUCUGAGACCAAAUACAAUAAAUAAAAGAGUAGGGAAGGAGAGACAAGGUCUGCAAAACAUAGCAGCUACCUCUGAAUCUCCGGAAAAUCAACUGUGUGAAAUAAUCAACACCCACUGUGUCCGGGAUCACCUGGAUCUGCACACGAAGUGCAGGGUGUAGUAUGAGUACAACCAACUCAGCAAGUAACAAUAAUAAAUAAGGAACUGAAAGUAGUGAUGAGCUUCUCUGCUAAGUCCAAAUAGAGUACUUUCCAACAUAAAAGGAUAGGAAUGCUCUCAAGUUCAACAUUUAAGAUUUCACUGAAAUUUCAUAACAAGUUUGACCGAAACAGAAAAUAAUAUUUUUCUGAAAUUUUCAAAAUAAUGAUAUAUGACAACUGAAAUGCAGUAAAUAAUGAAAUCAAUGCGCCCUCUCAGAGUAACAGUCACUCAGUCCUCCCAUUCACUCCAACCUCAUAGUCACUCUUUCCUCACAGUCACUCAUUCCUCAUAGUCACUCAUCACUCGGCACUCGGCACUUGCACUCGGCACUCACACUCGACACUCGCUCUCAGUAGGUACCUGUGCUCACUGGGGGUCUGUACAGACUCUGGAGGGGCUCCUUCAGCCCAAGCGCUAUAUCAAGCCAAUCAUGGCAAAAAUCAAUAAAACAUAAUGCGGCGUGCAGCUGGAUCCAUAAAUAUCCUCACAAUUAGACUCUCGGCCCCACUCAGUCAUCAAUCUCUCCAGUCUGUCUGGCUCUCAAAAAUCAUGAUAAUCAGCCCAAAAUUGAUAAUAUGAUGAUUUAAUAAAUAACAAUAGAGAUCGAGAUAUAAUAUGAAAUGAAUAAACAUAACUGAGUGUGAAAUUACAAUUUGAACAUAUAAUUCAACCACAGAAAUGACCCUAGUAGGUACCAAUAAUAACAACAUAUGUCUAAGUAUGAUUUUUAAUACGAGUCUCAGCUCAAUUUUCCCUAACACAUAGAGAAUGUACAGAUAUCAACAGAUAAUUCAACUACACAGUUCCAUGGAAUUUGACCAAGUCACAAUUCCUACGGUGCAUGCCCACACGCCCGUCACCUAGCAUGUGCGUCACCUCAAAACUAAUCACAUAACAUAUGAUCCGGGGUUUCAUACCCUUAGGACUAAAUUUAAAACUGUUACUUACCUCAAACCGUGUAAUUUCUUAUUCCACUAAGCCUUUGCCUCGUGAAUUGGCCUCCAAACGCCUCGAAUCUAGCCACAAAUAAUUCGAUUCAGUCAAUAAAAAUUGUAGGAAUUAAUUCCAUAUGAAAAUACAAUUUUUCCAUAAAAAUUCAAAUUUUCAUCCAAAAAUACCUGUGGGUCCCAUGUCUCAGAACCCGAAAAAAGUUACAAAAUAUGAAUUCCCAUCCAACCACGAGUCCAACCAUAUAAAUUUCACCAAAUUCCGACAUCAACUCGACCCUCAAAUCUUCAAUUAAAGUCUUCAACAAGCCCAAUUCACCCAUACAUAUCCCUUUUAUCCUUAAUAGAUUUCAUCAUUGGCCUUUAAGCCCCAAUCUAGGUUAUAUGAUUCAAUAUUUAAUCAUUAUUAAGCUAUUGAGGCACUAGAAUCACCAACCAUCCUAACAAGAUUCAAAAAUUCACUAUUCAUCUUCUUCUCCCUUCAAGAACCCUAACUCACAAUACCCAUUUGAAGGACUAGCAUAAUUCUUCAACCAAUUGGUACUUUCUACUUCACAAUACAUUCCAAAUACUUAAUCCACAAUUGUAUUUAAGUGUAGGGUGAAAAAUUUACCUCUUGUAUCUCAAACCCUAACUUGAACUCUUUUGAAUGAUUCUUGAAGAUUAGAGAAAUCCCUAUGAAUUUCAAUCCAUGUAGAUGUUAAUACUACCAUUAACUAGUGUUAAUCCAUUAUAAAAAUAUCAUAAAACUCACCUUUGAUAUGUAUUUGGGUUGAGGAUGCUCCACCUUCUCUCUAGAACCCAAAACUUAGCCAAAAAUGUUAUAUUUUUCUCUCUCCCCGAACCUCCCCUGUUUUAUAGAAAACGAGUUGCGUAGGCUGGUUGCGUAGCCUACACAGAUUGGCUAUGCAGCUUAACCCUCCCCUUCACUUCAUGCUGAUUUUGCCUACGCAAUGGUGUGUAGGCUAUGCAAGACUCGCGUAGCUGUUCUGUCACCCUUUAGUAAAAGGGUCAUAACUUCUUGUAGAAUUCUCUGAAUAACGAACGGUUUGAUGCGUUGGAAAUUAGACUCCCGAAUAACGAAUGGUUUGAUGCGUUGGAAAUUAGACUCAAAGGGAUUUAAUUUUAUAGGUUAUACACCAUAUAAAUCUUCAUAGCUUGAGAGUUAUUCUCGUUUGAAGUUAUAUCUUGUGCAAACUCACUUGAAACUUUAUCCCAUCAUAUAAUUUUCAACUUGACUUAGCCUUAGGGCUCUUCUUAGACCUUAAACCAUUUUAAUGCACCUCAUACAUAUAUUAUCAUGAUCAAUUGAUAUCAUUCAAAUUACCAAUUUUGUUCAUACCCGAAUUGAUAUAAUUAGCACCCCGCCAAUCUUCUUAAUGGUCUUAAAACACUUAGAAAUAUUUUCGGGGUGUUACAGUAACCAAGGCCUUUUGACUAAAGGAAACAUGCUUCUUAACAGAGCUGAAUGAUCAUGCUACUAUAAUAGAUUUUAAUUAUAAGUCCUAAAGACAUGAGUGCUAAUGUCCCCUUUUGUACAAAACUACAAACAUAUUUUGAUUCAGUUAAACAGAGGCAAACCUAACACGUGAUUCAAUAAUACGGUAUGUUACUAAUAUAAGAAUAAUAGGAUAAGGUCGAGUUUUUACCUUCCACGGGGCAGUGAACUGAGGGCUUUCGAGACUCCACAUCUACUCCACAAGACAAGAGUUGAGCGAGGAAAUUGAAGGACUUUUUGAGUAUCAGAUUGUAAGUACUAAAACAAAGAUUAAGAUUGGAAGAUUCAGUUGAGUUGAGAGAUUAUUCUUUUUACAGUGUUCAAACUUUAUUUUCGUCUGAAGACUUUGGGGAGUAUUUAUAGAUGCAACUUAGGGUUUAUGGGGUAGAGAUUGAGCGGAAUUUCAAAAUUGGAGACAAAAAUAUUCAAAAAUUCAAACGUUUGUAACCGUUUGAGAAUCAAACCUCAAAAAAAAGAAUUUAAUUCAAAAAGUUCUUUGGCCUCUUCUUCUGACCAAAUCUCGUGUCAGAGGUAGAUAUUCAAAAAGGCGCAAAGAGGGGAGAGGGAAGAGAGGAGAUCGUCUGGAAAGUGUUCUUUUGCACGAAAAUGGUGGAAUAAAUUUGGCUUGGAGAUGGAGGAGUUUGGAAUUUCGCUCAAAGAAGGAAGGAAGAGAAUGGGCGACUGUUUGGGCAGAAAAGAGGAUGGGCGUAGAAUUUUAGGGAUUAGGCUAAUUGGGCUGGGUUUUGGUCUGAAGGUUGGGCUUGG